rnacentral:rRNA from 1 species
UACGGAGGGGGCUAGCGUUGUUCGGAAUUACUGGGCGUAAAGCGCACGUAGGCGGCUUUGUAAGUUAGAGGUGGAAGCCCGGGGCUCAACUCCGGAAUUGCCUUUAAGACUGCAUCGCUAGAAUUGUGGAGAGGUAAGUGGAAUUCCGAGUGUAGAGGUGAAAUUCGUAGAUAUUCGGAAGAACACCAGUGGCGAAGGCGACUUACUGGAC